rnacentral:rRNA from 1 species
GGAAUUUUGGACAAUGGGCGCAAGCCUGAUCCAGCAAUGCCGCGUGAGUGAAGAAGGCCUUCGGGUUGUAAAGCUCUUUUGUCAGGGAAGAAACGGUGAGGGCUAAUAUCCCUUGCUAAUGACGGUACCUGAAGAAUAAGCACCGGCUAACUACGUGCCAGCAGCCGCGGUAAUACGUAGGGUGCAAGCGUUAAUCGGAAUUACUGGGCGUAAAGCGUGCGCAGGCGGUUUUUCAAGACAGAUGUGAAAUCCCCGGGCUUAACCUGGGAAUGGCAUUUGUGACUGGAAGGCUAGAGUGUGUCAGAGGGGGGUAGAAUUCCACGUGUAGCAGUGAAAUGCGUAGAGAUGUGGAGGAAUACCGAUGGCGAAGGCAGCCCCCUGGGAUAACACUGACGCUCAUGCACGAAAGCGUGGGGAGCAAACA